rnacentral:tRNA from 1 species
GGGGGUGUAGCCCAAUUGGCAGGAGGCAGGAGAAUUAAAAUCUCUACAGUGUGAGUUCGAAUCUCACCACCCCUACUA